AGUGAACGCUGGCGGUAGGCCUAACACAUGCAAGUCGAACGACAGCACAGUAAGAGCUUGCUCUUACGGGUGGCGAGUGGCGGACGGGUGAGGAAUACAUCGGCAUCUACUUUUUCGUGGGGGAUAACGUAGGGCAACUUACGCUAAUACCGCAUACGACCUACGGGUGAAAGCAGUGGAUCUUCGGACCUUGCGCGAUUGAAUGAGCCGAUGUCGAUUUAGCUAGUUGGCUGGGUAAGGGCCCACCAAGGCGACGCUCCGUAGCUGGUCUGAGAGGAUGAUCAGCAACACUGGAACUGAGACACGGUCCGGAUCCCAAGGGGAGGCAGCAGUGGGGAAUAUUGGACAAUGGGCGCAAGCCGGAUCCAGACAGACGGCGUGGGGGAAGAAGGCCUUCGGGUUGUAAAGCCCUUUUGUUGGGAAAGAAAAGCAGCAGGUUAAUACCGCGCUGUUCUGACGGUACCCAAAGAAUAAGCACCGGCUAACUUCGU
rnacentral:rRNA from 1 species